rnacentral:tRNA from 1 species
GGGGAUUUGGCUCAGUGGUAGAGCAGCUUGCCUAGCAAGCACAAGGCCCUGGGCUCGAUCCCCAGCUCCG